AGGAGCACGGAAAAAAAGGAGGAGGGAGGGAGCGAGCCGCCUCCCAGCCGGGGUGUCAGGCCAGGAUGCGAGGGGAGAAGCGAGGCCCGGUGCCCGCUCCCUCCCCGCCGCUCCCCGGUUGUCUUUCCCGAUCUGGGCUCUCACCUGACCGGGUCCCGGGGAAAGCGGAAGAAGGCCAGGAAGGCAGUAGCACAGACUGAAUGGAUAUUGAGACAAACCAAGAGCUGGGCAUUGAGUGUUGGAAAGUAAUCGAAACAAGGAGCGUACCUGCUCUGAAGACUUCAUCUCUCUCAUUGGCAAAAACAGAAUUGAGUUUGGAAAAAAAAAAAACCAGAGUAAAAAUCUGAAAAGUUAAGAGGAUAGAGGAAAGGCUCAGACAUGAAAUAGGUUCUGCUCAUAGCGAGAGAAAGCACAGCCAUUCUGAAAAGCAUAUAUGAUGUCCAGCAAGAGUUGUUAAAAUGCAGUAGUUCUCCUUUGCUAUGGACGUCUCUUAUAGAGUUUUGAAGACACACAACAUUCUGACAGAUAAAUGUGAUGGGAUUUUGGAAGCGUAAGCUAAAGAAAUGAAAUAAGCAAAGUGUUUCAAACCAGUUUAUUAAGUUUUUGUUUUUUUUUUUUAAAAUCAUUUGGUUCCUUUUGGAUGGGCUUAAAACUUUUCCAGCUUUUUUUAUUUGGUGUGAGAAGAAUUGUCUGUUAAAUAAGGAAGCCUUAUUAACAAGUGCCCUUCAAACUGCGAAUCUCAGACUGCAUCUCAUUUGGACUAAUAAAAUAGCAUGAGUUUAUGUGAUGUUAAUUCUUUACAAGAAUUUUGGCUAUGCCAUUUAGCUCUAUUCAUACUUUUUGAGUAGUUUCAGCUGAGGCUGAAGAUGUGUUUAGCUGUACCUAAUUGCUCUCAUUGUCUAGACAAUCAUCAACAUUUAUAUCCAGUGAACUGUUUAAGGGAAUUAAUCAGAUCAGAAAUAGCUUUUUUUGAUUCUUAAAUACACAAAUUUAUCUCAGAUAGAUUCGUUUUAAUUCAGGUUAAUUUGUUGUUUGAUUUGCUUUGCAGAUUGCAUAAAUGUUCAUGCUGAUGUAGGGAAAUGCACAAGAGAGCAGGAUCAUUUUCAAUCACAGUAGUGGUUUAGCAGCAUGACUGUGUAAUAUUAGCUUGAAGCUUCCUAAUUUAAAACACUUUUAAAACCUGCUUCAGUAUGAAAAAAAUGCCUCUUUUCCCUUAACUAGUAAUGGCAGUGCUCAUAUAUUUUGCCGAGGAUUGAAGGGCCCUUUUUCCCUUCAAUAGGGAAUAGUUCUGAUCCAUCAGAAAAGGGAAUUGCGUGCAGAAAUUCUUAAGACUCCGAAAAGCCAAACCAGAAGACUACAGUGAUAUUAAAAAUAAAGUAACUGUGGUAUAUAUUUCCCAAUGACAACUUCUGGUCGAAGUAUCACCAUACAAGAAUGUUAUAGCUGUUAUUGUAUUUUUUUUUUUUAAACUAUCCUCUGGGUUAUUCAAAUGUUGUUCACAACGUAUUUCCAACCUUAUUUGUAUAACUGAAUAGAGAUCAUGUGCUGUGUUAAAAGUGUUAUGCAGGUAAUCUGUAUCAUCCAAAUAAGUUAUUAAAGGAAUUCUGUCUGUUCA